AUGCUUCACCACCACCACCACCUCCUCUCCUCCUCCGCCUCCUCCUUCCCUCCCGCCGCCGCGCAAUCCCUCCUCCUCCUCCCGCGACAGCCGACCGCCAGCCUGCGCGCCCUCCUCUCCAUGGCCGACGCCGCCUCAACCUCCAGCUCGUUCCGCCCCCCGCGCGCCGUGCUGGCGGCGGCGGUGCCGUCCCUGGGCGCCGAGGAGACCGCCGCGGCGGCCGACGAGGCAUUCCGGAGGCACACCUCGACGGGCCUUCGGAGGGGAGGUGGCGGCGUGGCCGUCGUGUGGUUCAGGAGCGACCUCCGGGUGCUCGACAACGAGGCGCUGGCGCGCGCGUGGGCGGCCUCCGGCGCCGUCCUCCCCGUCUACUGCGUCGACCCCCGCGUCCUCGCCGGCGCCACCCACCGCUUCGGCUUCCCCAAGACCGGAGCACUGAGGGCGCAGUUCCUGAUAGAGUGCCUGGGAGACCUGAAGCAGAAUCUCCAGAAGCGCGGCCUCGACCUGCUCGUCCGGCACGGCAAGCCCGAAGACAUCCUCCCUGCGAUCGCCAAGGCCGUCAGCGCACACACAGUCUAUGCCCACAAGGAGACCUGCAGCGAGGAGCUUCUGGUCGAGCGCCUCGUGCGCAGAGGCCUGGAGCAGGUGGCCGUCCCUCAAGGACAAGGAGGAGCUUCUGGCCGGAGUAAUAAGCCUCUCAGCCCGAAGCUUCAGCUCGUCUGGGGGGCGACGAUGUACCACAUCGACGAUCUCCCGUUCCCUGUCAGCGACCUGCCGGACGUGUACACGCAGUUCAGAAAGGCGGUCGAGUCGAAGUCCUCGGUCCGGAGCUGCGGCAAGCUGCCGCCUUCGCUCGGGCCGGCCCCGGGUUCCGGCCUGGACGAGAUCGGAGGGUGGGGCUCGAUACCUACUCUGGAGUCAUUGGGUCUGAGUGUGACAAAGGCAGAGAAGGGAAUGCGUUUCGUCGGAGGAGAGAGCGCGGCGCUGGGAAGGGUCCAUGAGUACUUCUGGAAGAAUGAUCAGGUGAAAGUGUACAAAGAGACCAGGAACGGCAUGCUUGGGCCGGACUACUCCACCAAGUUCUCCCCUUGGCUUGCUUCGGGCAGUCUUUCGCCGCGCUAUGUUUGCGAAGAGGUUAAGAGAUACGAGAAGCAGAGAAUAGCAAAUGAUUCCACAUACUGGGUUUUAUUUGAGCUGAUAUGGAGAGACUACUUCAGAUUCCUUUCAGCAAAAUAUGGGAACUCCAUUUUCCACUUGGGGGGUCCGAGAAAAGUGGCGUCCAAGUGGAGCCAAGAUCAGGCAUUGUUCGAAUCUUGGAAAGAUGGUCGGACCGGGUACCCUCUUAUUGAUGCCAACAUGAAGGAGCUCUUAGCUACAGGUUUCAUGUCCAACCGUGGCCGGCAGAUUGUCUGCUCUUUUUUGGUCCGGGACAUGGGCAUCGAUUGGCGAAUGGGAGCUGAAUGGUUUGAAACAUGCCUUCUGGAUUAUGACCCUGCUUCAAAUUAUGGUAAUUGGACAUAUGGAGCAGGAGUUGGCAAUGAUCCACGAGAAGAUCGAUACUUCAGCAUCCCCAAGCAAGCCAAGACAUACGAUCCUGAUGGCGAAUAUGUCGCGUACUGGUUACCAGAGCUUCGUUCACUCGCAAAGGAAAGGAGGAACUUCCCAGGGGCCUCAUACAUCAAGCAGGUAGUUCCACUGAAAUUUGAUGGUGGGCAUCAGAGAAAAGAUCAGCAAUUCAACAGGCAGACAAGGCCAAAGAAUAUUUACAGAAGACAAAAGUAA
rnacentral:rRNA from 1 species